GGGGCUGUAGCUCAGUGGUAGAGCGCUUGCCUACAUGUGUGACUCACUAGGUUCGAUUCUCAGCACCA
rnacentral:tRNA from 1 species